rnacentral:rRNA from 1 species
GGACUGGAGUCUGCAACCCGACUCCACGAAGCUGGAUUCGCUAGUAAUCGCGCAUCAGCCACGGCGCGGUGAAUACGUUCCCGGGCCCUGUACACACCGCCCGUCAAGCCAUGGGAGGCCGGGGGUACCUGAAGUCAGUAGUCUAACCGCAAGGAGGACGCUGCCGAAGGUGGGAUUAGCGACUGGGGUGAAGUCGUAACAAGGUAGC